UUGGCGGACGGGUGAGUAACGCGUGGAUAACCUGCCGUAUACAGGGGGAUAACACUUAGAAAUAGGUGCUAAUACCGCAUAAGCGCACGGUUCCGCAUGGAACAGUGUGAAAAACUCCGGUGGUAUACGAUGGAUCCGCGUCUGAUUAGCCAGUUGGNGGGGUAACGGCCCACCAAAGCGACGAUCAGUAGCCGGCCUGAGAGGGUGAACGGCCACAUUGGGACUGAGACACGGCCCAAACUCCUACGGAAGGCAGCAG
rnacentral:rRNA from 1 species